rnacentral:rRNA from 1 species
CCUACGGGUGGCAGCAGUGGGGAAUAUUGCGCAAUGGGCGAAAGCCUGACGCAGCGACGCCGCGUGAGGGAUGAAGGUCUUCGGAUCGUAAACCUCUGUCAGCAGGGAAGAACGGUCACUGUGCUAAUCAGCAGUGAAUUGACGGUACCUGCAAAGGAAGCACCGGCUAACUCCGUGCCAGCAGCCGCGGUAAUACGGAGGGUGCGAGCGCUAAUCGGAAUUACUGGGCGUAAAGCGCUCGUAGGCGGUAUGUCAAGUCAAGGGUGAAAUCCCCGCGCUCAACGUGGGAACUGCCUUUGAAACUGGCAAACUGGAGUGUGUGAGAGGAUAGUGGAAUUCCAGGUGUAGGAGGGAAAGCCGUAGAUAUCUGGAGGAACAUCAGUGGCGAAGGCGACUAUCUGGCACAUAACUGACGCUGAGGAGCGAAAGCGUGGGUAGCAAACAGGAUUAGAUACCCCAGUAGUC